AGAAACUUGCGUAACAUCAGAGUAGACAGUUGGGGCACAGAGGAGCAAAGGAUAAUGUCUCUGUUCCUGGAUCCUUGAAACAUCAAAGACAAUGUCAAGACGAAGAGAUAGUACAUAUGCCAGCAGGAGGAUCACUCGUAGAGGUCCUACCGGAGGGAGGAGCAGGAGAUGCAAGUCAGGUGCAGAAAUGCCAAUUAAAAAAAGGAAAGGUAAAUUUCAACUUUGACACGCAAUUACAAUCCAUUAGGUGGGGAUCUUAAACUUGCCAAUCUUUUGAAUAGUAUCCAACACCAAUUUAAUUUGAUUGAGUGUUGUGCAGUAUAUUUCAAAGAACCAUACUUUAAUGUUUAAUCAUUGGAUUUUGUUUUUAUGUUGCAGGGUAUGUCCGCGUCUGUGCAGUAUACUAUUACUGGAAAGGAAGAAAAUGAUUUCCAGUGAUUCCCUUUCCAUUGCUUAGAAAUUCCAUCUUCUGCAUUGGUGAAUCACAGUGACAUCUCCCAUAACAUGGAAACCCAUCAGAUAAGUCAUCAAUGAGCC